rnacentral:rRNA from 1 species
CCUUUUGCAUAAUGGUUAAAUAAUAAUAUAAAAAUUUUAAUUUCACGAAAUAAAAUGAGCUAUUUUAUUUCUGUAUAUGAUUGUAAUAUAAUUCAUAAUAGAAAACAAAAAUAGGAGUGAAAGGCCUUUCAAAUUUUAAGAUAUCUUGAUGCUUAAUAAAAGUAUUUAGUACAAAGUUAAACUAUAAAUGAUAAGGUUUAUAGUGAAGAUUAAAUUAUUAAAUAAUUUUCUAAGGUUUAAUUACCUCAGAGUUUUAUUAUAAAUAAGUUUAUAAUUAAUUAUCAAAUACACUGAGCACUCCAGUAACAAUAAGAGGAUUUAUAAUGUUUAAAUUUAAAUAAGUAUUAAAAAAGUAAAAAUAAAGGACUUGGCAAAUUUUUUUUUCGACUGUUUACCAAAAACAUAGCCAAAUGGCAUUUACAUUUGGUGAUUUCUGCUCAAUGAAAUUUAAAUAGCCGCA